UACGUAGGGCGCGAGCGUUGUCCGGAUUUAUUGGGCGUAAAGAGCUCGUAGGCGGCUUGUCGCGUCGACUGUGAAAACCCGGGGCUUAACUUCGGGCUGGCAGUCGAUACGGGCGGGCUGGAGUUCGGUAGGGGAGACUGGAAUUCCUGGUGUAGCGGUGAAAUGCGCAGAUAUCAGGAGGAACACCGGUGGCGAAGGCGGGUCUCUGGGCCGAUACUGACGCUGAGGAGCGAAAGCGUGGGGAGCGAACAGG
rnacentral:rRNA from 1 species